AAAUUUCAACGGCCGCGGUAUCCUAACCGUGCACAUAAUCAUUUGCCUAUUAAUUGUAGGCUAGAAUGAAUGGAUUAACGAAUAAAAGCUGUCUCAAUUAAUAACUAAAAUUAUUCUCUAUCUGAAGAAAGGUAGAUAACCUCGAAGGACAAAGACCCUAUAGAGCUUAAUAUAAAUUAUGGGCCUAUACCAUAUAAAUAUUCGGUUGGGGCGACCCAGGGCUAAAUAAUCACCCUCUAUAUAAAAGAUACAUUAAUCAAUUAAGUGACCCUAAAAAGAUCACUAAACUACUACCUUAGGGAUAACAGGCUAAUCCCACUCAAGAGUCCUUAUCUACAGUGGGGCUUGGCACCUCGAUGUUGGCUUAGGGUAUCUAUAUGGCGCAAAUUAUAUAAAGAUGGUUUGUUCCAAUAAUUCCCUACUGAGCUGAGUUCAGACCGGGUAAGCCGGUUAGCUUCUAUCCUCGACUAACCUCUACUCCUAGUACGAAAGGACCUGAGGUAAUUAUUUAUACAAAUACAUAU
rnacentral:rRNA from 1 species